rnacentral:tRNA from 1 species
GGUGCCUUGGUCGAGUGGUUAGGCAACGGCCUGCAAAGCCGCGUACACCGGUUCGAAUCCGGUAGGCACCU